UGUGUCUUUGGUUUGAGUGUUUUCCUUCCUAGUUUGGGUUAGCGCCAGCUGGAGAAAACGCUGCUCUGGCAGUUUGCAGCCAAACUGGAAGCACAGGAUCCGUGGAACCUCCUGGGAAAGUGUUCUCUUGAAAUUCCCAGUAGUCGCUGUGCAUGGAAGCUGAGACAUGGACAAAUGUCAUUGCUCCUGGUUCUUGGGCCUUUGGACCCAGACAAGGACUUAUACCAUCAGCCCUCCAUUCUCAGGCCUUUAGACUCUACUGAAUUACACCACCGGCUUUCCUGAUUCUCCAGUCUGAAGACGGCAGAUUGCGUGACUCCUCAGCCUCUGUAAUUGUCAUCUGGUGGGAAGUGUGCUUUCGCUUGAUGACACUGAAAAAUCAUGCCACGAGUGUCCAGUAACAGAAAGAAAAUAGACUUGCUGCACUCUGAGGAAGGGAAGGUUCCUCUCCACGCCCCCAGCGUGUAUGGGACCUAAGCUGCCAGGUUUUAGAAUGCUGGAGAAUUUCAAAUCAGACCACCUGCUCCUUAAAUGUCAAAACCAGCAGUAGUGUUUACAAUUCUAUACAACGGAUGUUCUCUAGCAACACCAAAAGCAAAUUUCAGGUCGUUAUGUAUCCACUACCAGGUGAGAAGGUUAAAGGACUAAGAACCAGGAAAGUAAAUAUUUGGCUUUUUGUGUACAAA
rnacentral:lncRNA from 1 species